AGCAGCCGCGGUAAUUCCAGCUCCAAUAGCGUAUAUUAAAGUUGUUGCAGUUAAAAAGCUCGUAGUUGAAUUUCGGGAUCAAUAUGUCGGUCGUGCCUUCGGUACGUACUGGCAUCAUUGAUUUCUCCCUUCUGACGAACCACGAUGUCAUUAAUUUGGUGUCAUGGGGAGUCAGGACUGUUACUUUGAAAAAUUAGAGUGUUUAAAGCAGGCUCACGCUUGAAUACAUUAGCAUGGAAUAAUGAAAUAGGACGUUUGACCCUAUUUUGUUGGUUUCUAGGAUCAACGUAAUGAUUAAUAGGGAUAGUUGGGGGCAUUAGUAUUCAAUUGUCAGAGGUGAAAUUCUUGGAUUUAUUGAAGACUAACUACUGCGAAAGCAUUUGCCAAGGAUGUUUUCAUUAAUCAAGAACGAAAGUUAGGGGAUCGAAGACGAUCAGAUACCGUCGUAGUCUUAACCAUAAACUAUGCCGACUAGGGAUCGGAUGAUGUUAAUUUUUAAUGACUCAUUC
rnacentral:rRNA from 1 species